rnacentral:rRNA from 1 species
UACGUGAGGGGCGAACGUUGUUCGGUGUCACUGGGCUUAAAGGGCGCGUAGGUGGCUGUGCAAGUAAGGUGUGAAAGCCCUCGGCUUACCCGGGGAAUUGCGCCUUAAACUGCAUGGCUUGAGGGUCUCAGGGGAUAGGGGAACUCCAGGUGUAGCGGUGAAAUGCGUAGAUAUGCGGAGGAACACCGAUGGCGAAGGCAAUCCCCUGGACCUGUACUGACGCUCAUGCACGAAAGCGUGGGGAGCAAACAGG